rnacentral:lncRNA from 1 species
GGAGCAGUCGACGUUGGGGCUGAUGGGUACGCCGACGCUGACGCCGCACUUGCUUGGGAUGUUGGCGGCGUUGCCCAUGCUGGCGCCGCCUCCGCCGAGCCUGCCGGUCAUGCUCUUGAGGCAGGUGCAGGCCGCCUGGCGGUCGGCGGUGGAGGAGGCCCUGGUGCUGAGGGACCUGACCCCGUUGCAGCACGCCGUCGACGGGGACGCCGCGCUGCCCAUCGCGUACCCCAGGCACGGCACCACCGCCGACGUCACCUCGCUGCAGCUCACGGCCGCCGACGCCGUCUCCGCCGCCACCAGCGCAGCCAGCACGGCCACCACCGCCACAACGGCAACGCGAGGAGCCAUUGCACACGCAACGACAAGUGUAUACUGUGUGACUACUGAUCUGAUCAGUGAAGUGUAAGCUAGCUGAUUGUUUGGUAGUAUUAGCUUGGAUU